rnacentral:rRNA from 1 species
CUCUUUUUUUCUCGGUUUUUCUCUUUUUUGUUUUGUUAAAAGUAUAUGACUCUAUAACUUUUAGACCGUGAGCCCAAACAUAGCAUGUGAUACCUUUUCGGAAAGCCCAAAGAGAGCUCUCCGAUGAAUGAGGAAGGAAAUUUGAAAUUUUCUAUUGUUUUUUUUUCUACUCCAAAUUUUGAACUAAAUGUACUUUUUUGAGGCCUUUUCGUGAUCUUUGCUAUAUUACGGGGGGAAAAUUAUAUGUUCGGCCAUUGUUUUCGAAUAUUUUACAUGUAUCAAAGCUCUUAUAAACAAGAUAGGGUAUUCCUACAUAUCUGGUGGGACCCACAGCAGAUGGAUCAUAAAGUCUUCAUAAAAGAAUAGAUACGAUUGCAUUUCAUGUACUAACAGAUGCGAUCAUACCAGCACUAAUGCACCAGAUCCCAUCUGAACUCCGCAGUUAAGCGUGCUUGGGCGAGAGUAGUACUAGGAAUCCCGG